UUCCAAUCGUUUUUAUGUUGCUGUUAGGUGUCUCCAUUUAUUCUUUAGAGCUUCUACGGGUUCAAUUUAUGAUGUUCUCCUUCGAAGAGUAAAUUUGCAUGUUAUCAUCUACUUUGAUUUGCUUAGUUCUACCCAUUUCUGCCAAUGAAUUUUCUUGUUAUACUAUGAUUCUCCCCACCAGAAGUUACAUAUUAUGCUCUCCAUCUUUGUGGUAAAUGGUAUUGGGGAUAAGGAAAGAAGUCGUGAUGUAAGUGGGAAUA
rnacentral:lncRNA from 1 species